GUGGGGAAUAUUGGACAAUGGGCGCAAGCCUGAUCCAGCCAUGCCGCGUGAGUGAUGAAGGCCUUAGGGUUGUAAAGCUCUUUUGUCCGGGAAGAUAAUGACUGUACCGGAAGAAUAAGCCCCGGCUAACUUCGUGCCAGCAGCCGCGGUAAUACGAAGGGGGCUAGCGUUGGUCGGAAUCACUGGGCGGAAAGCGCACGUAGGCGGACCAUUAAGUAAGGGGUGAAAGCCUGGAGUUCAACUCCAGAACUGCCUUUGAUACUGAUGGUCUCGAGUAUGGAAGAGGUUGGUGGAACUGCGAGUGUAGAGGUGAAAUUCGUAGAUAUUCGCAAGAACACCGGUGGCGAAGGCGGCCAACUGGUCCAUUACUGACGCUGAGGUGCGAAAGCGUGGGGAGCAAACAGGAUUAGAAACCCUGGUAGUCC
rnacentral:rRNA from 1 species